rnacentral:rRNA from 1 species
CUACGGGAGGCAGCAGUAGGGAAUUUUGCGCAAUGGGCGAAAGCCUGACGCAGCAACACCGCGUGAACGAUGACGCUUUUCGGAGUGUAAAGUUCUGUCAGUGGGGACGAAUUUUGACGGUACCCACAGAGGAAGCACCGGCUAACUCCGUGCCAGCAGCCGCGGUAAUACGGAGGGUGCAAGCGUUGUCCGGAAUCAUUGGGCGUAAAGAGUUCGUAGGUGGUAUGUUAAGUCUGGUGUUAAAGCCCGAAGCUCAACUUCGGUUCGGCACUGGAUACUGGCAAACUUGAAUGUGGUAGAGGUAAAGGGAAUUCCUGGUGUAGCGGUGAAAUGCGUAGAUAUCAGGAGGAACAUCGGUGGCGUAAGCGCUUUACUGGGCCAUAAUUGACACUGAGGAACGAAAGCCGGGGUAGCAAAUGGGAUUAGAUACCCCCGUAGUC